rnacentral:rRNA from 1 species
UACGGAGGGAGCUAGCGUUGUUCGGAAUUACUGGGUGUAAAGCGCACGUAGGCGGCUUUGUAAGUUAGAGGUGAAAGCCCGGGGCUCAACCCCGGAAUUGCCUUUAAGACUGCAUCGCUUGAAUCCGGGAGAGGUGAGUGGAAUUCCGAGUGUAGAGGUGAAAUUCGUAGAUAUUCGGAAGAACACCAAUGGCGAAGGCAGCUCGCUGGGACGGUACUGACGCUGAGACGCGAAAGCGUGGGGAGCAAACAGG